GAUGAACGCUGGCGGCGUGCCUAAUACAUGCAAGUCGAGCGAACGGACGAGAAGCUUGCUUCUCUGAUGUUAGCGGCGGACGGGUGAGUAACACGUGGAUAACCUACCUAUAAGACUGGGAUAACUUCGGGAAACCGGAGCUAAUACCGGAUAAUAUUUUGAACCGCAUGGUUCAAAAGUGAAAGACGGUCUUGCUGUCACUUAUAGAUGGAUCCGCGCUGCAUUAGCUAGUUGGUAAGGUAACGGCUUACCAAGGCAACGAUGCAUAGCCGACCUGAGAGGGUGAUCGGCCACACUGGAACUGAGACACGGUCCAGACUCCUACGGGAGGCAGCAGUAGGGAAUCUUCCGCAAUGGGCGAAAGCCUGACGGAGCAACGCCGCGUGAGUGAUGAAGGUCUUCGGAUAGAAAAACUCUGUUAUUAGGGAAGAACAUAUGUGUAAGUAACUGUGCACAUCUUGACGGUACCUAAUCAGAAAGCCACGGCUAACUACGUG
rnacentral:rRNA from 1 species